UUACUGGGCGUAAAGCGCACGCAGGCGGUAUGUUAAGUCAGAUGUGAAAUCCCCGGGCUCAACCUGGGAACUGCAUCUGAUACUGGCAAGCUUGAGUCUCGUAGAGGGGGGUAGAAUUCCUGGUGUAGCGGUGAAAUGCGUAGAGAUCUGGAGGAAUACCGGUGGCGAAGGCGGCCCCCUGGACUAAGACUGACGCUCAGGUGCGAAAGCGUGGGGAGCAAACGGGAUUAGAUA
rnacentral:rRNA from 1 species